rnacentral:rRNA from 1 species
UACCAGCACCCCGAGUGGUCGGGACGAUUAUUGGGCCUAAAGCAUCCGUAGCCGGUUUUACAAGUCCUCCGUUAAAUCCAGCUGCUUAACAGAUGGGCUGCGGAGGAUACUAUAAGACUAGGAGGCAGGAGAGGCAAGCGGUACUCAGUGGGUAGGGGUAAAAUCCGUUGAUCCAUUGAAGACCACCAGUGGCGAAGGCGGCUUGCCUGAAUGCGCUCGACGGUGAGGGAUGAAAGCUGGGGGAGCAAACCGG